UUCUUUUUCCACCGGAGCUUGCUCCACCGGAAAAAGAGGAGUGGCGAACGGGUGAGUAACACGUGGGUAACCUGCCCAUCAGAAGGGGAUAACACUUGGAAACAGGUGCUAAUACCGUAUAACAAUCGAAACCGCAUGGUUUUGAUUUGAAAGGCGCUUUCGGGUGUCGCUGAUGGAUGGACCCGCGGUGCAUUAGCUAGUUGGUGAGGUAACGGCUCACCAAGGCCACGAUGCAUAGCCGACCUGAGAGGGUGA
rnacentral:rRNA from 1 species